AGGUGUCUACUCAUUAAUCAUUGGUUAAGAAAUACCUCUCAAGACUUAUGUCUGAAGACAUCUGCAGUCAAUGACAGUGUUCUCUACUUGAUGUAAUUUAAGGUAGCCUGAUUGAGUCAGAAACAUUAGGAAAUCUUUGUCUUUGGAACUAAAAUUGUCAACUUGUAUACUUUGGCACUCUUUUCCUGGAAGCCUGCUUUGGUCUGCAUAUUCACUGAAGAACAACAAUGAAUUCCCACCAUUAUGUACCCAUCUACC